rnacentral:rRNA from 1 species
UACGAAGGGGGCUAGCGUUGUUCGGAUUUACUGGGCGUAAAGCGCACGUAGGCGGGUCGUUAAGUCAGGGGUGAAAUCCCGGAGCUCAACUCCGGAACUGCCUUUGAUACUGGCAAUCUAGAGACUGGAAGAGGUUAGUGGAAUUCCCAGUGUAGAGGUGAAAUUCGUAGAUAUUGGGAAGAACACCAGUGGCGAAGGCGGCUACCUGGCCUGUUCUUGACGCUGAGGCGGCGAAAGCUAGGGGAGCAAACGGGGAUUAGAAACCC